UAAACAAGAUUUGAGAAUUGAACAAUGAUCCAAAUCCCUACAAAUGUAGAUUAGACCAUCAAACAAACACGAUCUGCAAGCAUUAGUGAAUUGUCAAGAAGAAAAUUUAAAAAUUGAUAGAAUAAAGAGAAGAUUGGAUUGCGGGUAAGUGAAAUUGAAUAUUUGACCUAAAGGAGAAGAAAAAAGUGAAGGAUCUCUGAAAAAUAGAAAAGAGAGAUAGAGAGAGCUUCUCUUAAACUCGGAUCUGAAGCGUGGAAUGAAGUUAGAAGAAGAGGAUGACAAUUUUCUACUAAUUGGAAAUUACGAUAUUAUUCCUAUUUUUUUGCCUUCGUGUCGCCUUCUUCGUUGUGUCUGACAUUGCCUUUGGACAUUUCUACGGAGGUUUUGUGUUUACCAGCGAAUUGAUUCCAGAAGUCGAAGAUGGACCCGUCGUUUUUACAGGAAUUGUUGUGGAUAUGGGCCGGGGGAAGCCGAAAGGCCAAUUAAAGAAUUUUAAAGAAAAAAACCUUUUAAUACAAAAAACCCCUCGACUUUUUACAAAAACCCCUCAACUAAAAAAGUCGAAUGAAAAUUUCUCUUCAUUGGUCAAUAUAAAAAUUCUAAC
rnacentral:sRNA from 1 species